rnacentral:sRNA from 2 species
CGUGCGCGAGCGCCGAAUUCCGCAAGGGAACCGGGGAACCACCUACAUGGGGUGAAUCGGGCACCUGUGUCUCGUAAGAGGCAUCCAGAGGCCCGUAGGAGACCUUCCUGCUCCGAACCCGUCAGCUAACCCGGUAGGCGAGAAGGAAGGAAAGG